GAUGAACGCUGGCGGCGUGCCUAAUACAUGCAAGUCGAGCGAACGGACGAGAAGCUUGCUUCUCUGAUGUUAGCGGCGGACGGGUGAGUAACACGUGGAUAACCUACCUAUAAGACUGGGAUAACUUCGGGAAACCGUAGCUAAUACCGGAUAAUAUUUUGAACCGCAUGGUUCAAAAGUGAAAGACGGUCUUGCUGUCACUUAUAGAUGGAUCCGCGCUGCAUUAGCUAGUUGGUAAGGUAACGGCUUACCAAGGCAACGAUGCAUAGCCGACCUGAGAGGGUGAUCGGCCACACUGGAACUGAGACACGGUCCAGACUCCUACGGGAGGCAGCAGUAGGGAAUCUUCCGCAAUGGGCGAAAGCCUGACGGAGCAACGCCGCGUGAGUGAUGAAGGUCUUCGGAUCGUAAAACUCUGUUAUUAGGGAAGAACAUAUGUGUAAGUAACUGUGCACAUCUUGACGGUACCUAAUCAGAAAGCCACGGCUAACUACGUGCCAGCAGCCGCGGUAAUACGUAGGUGGCAAGCGUUAUCCGGAAUUAUUGGGCGUAAAGCGCGCGUAGGCGGUUUUUUAAGUCUGAUGUGAAAGCCCACGGCUCAACCGUGGAGGGUCAUUGGAAACUGGAAAACUUGAGUGCAGAAGAGGAAAGUGGAAUUCCAUGUGUAGCGGUGAAAUGCGCAGAGAUAUGGAGGAACACCAGUGGCGAAGGCGACUUUCUGGUCUGUAACUGACGCUGAUGUGCGAAAGCGUGGGGAUCAAACAGGAUUAGAUACCCUGGUAGUCCACGCCGUAAACGAUGAGUGCUAAGUGUUAGGGGGUUUCCGCCCCUUAGUGCUGCAGCUAACGCAUUAAGCACUCCGCCUGGGGAGUACGACCGCAAGGUUGAAACUCAAAGGAAUUGGCGGGGACCCGCACAAGCGGUGGAGCAUGUGGUUUAAUUCGAAGCAACGCGAAGAACCUUACCAAAUCUUGACAUCCUUUGACAACUCUAGAGAUAGAGCCUUCCCCUUCGGGGGACAAAGUGACAGGUGGUGCAUGGUUGUCGUCAGCUCGUGUCGUGAGAUGUUGGGUUAAGUCCCGCAACGAGCGCAACCCUUAAGCUUAGUUGCCAUCAUUAAGUUGGGCACUCUAAGUUGACUGCCGGUGACAAACCGGAGGAAGGUGGGGAUGACGUCAAAUCAUCAUGCCCCUUAUGAUUUGGGCUACACACGUGCUACAAUGGACAAUACAAAGGGCAGCGAAACCGCGAGGUCAAGCAAAUCCCAUAAAGUUGUUCUCAGUUCGGAUUGUAGUCUGCAACUCGACUACAUGAAGCUGGAAUCGCUAGUAAUCGUAGAUCAGCAUGCUACGGUGAAUACGUUCCCGGGUCU
rnacentral:rRNA from 1 species